rnacentral:lncRNA from 1 species
AAAUCUUUCAUUUCAUCAUAGUUGCCCAGUGUAUUCUGGAUGCGAUUAGAGAGCUCGUCCCCCUUGUUAGUCUUGUACGGUUCACUGAAGAGGGAGUAACUGGUGUUAAAAGUGCCAUCCUCCUGCUGGGCCUCCUGAUUUCUCCUUUCCCAUUCUUUCCUGCGCAGCACGUUUCUGUCUGGCUCGUAGACGCACAGCGAGUCCAGGUCCCACUCCUGGAGCAGAGCUAAGUCGAAGCUGUCCAUGGUGAGCUCAGCUCAGCUCAGCUCAGCUCAGCGCCGCUGCGCCGCAGCCGCCCGGCGUCCGGGACGCAUCCCGACUGCACGGCGGGCGGGGACACCCCCCUUCUCUCCACCUGCCCCCGCUUUCCAAACAGAAAGGAACAAAUUAAAU